CGACUUCUGUGUUCAUUCGCAGCAAAAACAUUGAACUACCCCUCACAACAGUUGCUAUUUUCGACCCUCAUUAUUAAACAACAUGCUGAAAUAUAUGGUGUUUCUUCUUGUUAUCGGCGUGGCUGUAGCUGGAGUUAUAUACCAAGAAAAAGAAUACCCAAAAUACGAGUAUGUUCAACCAGUAAAAGUCGUGACAUAUCCUGUGCAAACUAUCAAAGUUGUGAGCGUUCCACAGAAAUAUGUUGUAUCACACGGAUAUUCGUGUGAUUAUGACUGCUAGUAGGUGUCUUGUAUGUGAAAAAAAAAAGGAAACGUAUUAAAAGAGGUUUCUUCUCGGGAGGAAGAAAAAAAACUGUAAUUGAAAAACUUAUGUUUCAAAAUAAAGAAAUGAAGAUAUGAAAUUUUCCAAAA